CAAAACAUAGAUCCGACAAACUCUCAAGACAUUUCCGGAUAAAAAGAUCCGACUAUAAAACGCUCCUCUCUCUCUCUCGUUUCAAUUCAAUCUUUCUCAGAAAUGAUAAUCGGUAGCAAUGCCGGUGGUGGCCUGUCAAAGAAGAGGCAGCGCGUGGGGAGCAACAACCGCCUCUCCUCCACCACCGCCGUCAUCGACUCCUCCCGUCCCAACGGAACCCUAACCGACUCCUCACGCAAACGUCCGUCUCUCCGCCGUUCCAAUUCUCACUCAUUACUCCCCCCUCCGCCUCCACCACCGCCGCCGCUUGUGGCGGCUUCAACGACUCCGCCACCGCUGACGUCAUCCUCCGCCUCUAUUUCGAACAGCCAUCGCCAUUCGACUCCGCCGUCGAUCCCGUCGAACAAGCCGAUUUUCAGGUCUACCUACACUCCGAUGUCCUUCGCAGAUCGAAGUAUUUCGCUGCAUUGUUAUCGGAUCGAUGGAAGAGAGAGUCCGGCGAUACGGAUUCCGAGAGCUCUCGGAAAAUCUAUCAGUUCAAUUUGGGUGUUUCGGCCACGACUGGAUCAAUCGACAAUCACUAGACUGUUCUUCAGCUUCUCUACACGAAUGAUUUAUCGAGUGUGAUAGAUUGCGUUUCGACGGCUCUCUCGAUACUUCCCGCGGCUCUCGUUCGAAGAUUGUGUUAGGUCUUGCUUUCGAUUUCUCGAGGCUGUGUCGUGUACUGAAGAGGAAGAGAAGAUGAUUCUCAGUUUUGUUCCUUUUCUAAGAGACGAUGAGUCUAAGGAGCUUCUCGCUAGGGUUUCGCCUGCGAAGAACGAUGCAUCAGAGGAAAUGCUUCACAGAUUGAUUCUUACGGCAGUACAUAACCAUCCGAACAUGGCAUUCGCGAAGGCUUUCGUAGCGAAGCUUUUGAGGCAGUUCUCGUCGAGAGAAUCGGCACGGAUAGUGUUGGAUUUAGCUUUCUAGACGAGUUUGAAGAUCGUGAAGGAGUCAUUGGAGUAUUCGAGCCCGGCUUUUAGAGGAGACCAUAAUGAGACGGAGCCUAUUCAGAGGUUGAAUUUGCGUUUUGCGAUGUCGAAUGGGAAGCAUCUGUUGUGGUUAAUCGAAAGGAUGAUUGAGUUGAGAGUGGCAGAUAAUGCCGUGAAGGACGGGAGCGAACAGGAUUCAUUCCCGGCAGAUUUGCAGAGGGCAUUUCGAGAUGAUGCGUGAAGGAAUAUUGUGCCAGGCCUCCCUGCUGUUGUGCUUUGAUGCACUUGCAAGCUUGCCAAUGCUGUUGCUGCUGGAACCAUUUUGGCUGAUAAACAGGUUAGGAUGAAGCUCGUUAAAGAUUGGCUUCCGUGUUGAAUGUAUGCAAAGACAAUGUCUCGCCCAUGCUGCCCUGUCAUAAAUCACUGUAUUUGGAGCUCGAAGAAACAUUCCUGAAAAUUAUCGCUGCACUGCCCAUGCCAUGCACAGGAGUUGUUGCAGCAGUGUAUCAGCUUCUCAACUCGAAAUGUUGAAGACUGUCCUCAUUUGCUAACUCCAUUCAAUACCUGGUUCCGUAGUGCAACUCAUCCCCUACAAGCCGAAAAUCUUUGUGAGUAGGGUUUUGAAACUUGUGUUUGACAGUUUUAACAGUCAGUAUUUGUUCUACCAUAGGUUUCUUGCCUUUCCUGUCAAAUAUUGUGCAUAUUGAUAUGAUGUUAGGGUGUAAAACUGAUGGCUGUAUAUAUGCCUUGGUCUCUCUUGAAAGCAAACCAUGUAAAGCACCUGUAGUUCGAGAAAAUAAAUCUUUGAAGGCUGUUGCCAAGCCAACUGUUUGUGGCUGUUUUUCAAUGCCAUUUGAUAGACUUGAUUCCUGAGUA